UUACACUAUUUCUGCCUAUUGCAUCCGGUAGAUGUAACUACCGAACAAAGACCACCCCUCUGGCUCUUUAAACAUCAAAGACUGAUUCAAUUGCUACCUCUGUCUGUGCGGCCAGCGUUCGUACAGCCGAACGCCACGUGGCAGAGAAAACCGCGGCCAUCUUUGUUCAUGCGAACAAAGGCAGCAGGACUUGGUCGAGUGUAUGGAACUGAAAAUGGACACUCGACUUACCAGAGGGAUCCAUUCUGUACUUUGUUCGCUAUUCUUCUAUUUCUAAAGGGACCGGCAAAACCCACCAAACUCAUGGAACUGUUUUGGGCAUACAGCCCAGGGGAAGCCGGUCACAGAAGACCUCCAUAGUUUUUGCGAACCCCUGAACCGAUCUUAGUGAAAUUAGAAUAUGUUGGUCACCCAGAUCAGGGCUAUCAGGGGACAUGUUAUUUGGGGUGAUACGACAAGUAUAAAGGGGUUUCCCAGUUAUUGGGGAAAUAGGUGAUUUUUCUGCCUGGAGAUAAUUAAGUUAUUAUCUUAUCAGACUUAAUUAUCUCCAGAGCUAGGGAAGGAGACUGGGGGUGUGUGUUAUGGUUUUACUGUAUGUGAUUGGUAAAUGUUUGUCCCUCCCUGAGGGCUGUCCCCUUGCAUGGGGACUUGCAUAAAAGCCUGUGUGACCAUUGAAAGUUAGUUCAUUUUGUACCCUUCUUCUUGACUUCGGCUGAUGUUUGGGGAUUGGUGUGUGUGGCGAAACCGACCUCGCCACUGGGCAUUG